UACAGAGACUGCAAGCGUUAUUCGGAUUCACUGGGCGUAAAGGGUGCGCAGGCGGCCGGGUGUGUCAGAUGUGAAAUCCCGAGGCUUAACCUCGGAACUGCGUCUGAAACUACUCGGCUAGAGUACUGGAGAGGGUAACGGAAUUCACGGUGUAGCAGUGAAAUGCGUAGAUAUCGUGAAGAACACCAGAGGCGAAGGCGGUUACCUGGACAGUUACUGACGCUCAGGCACGAAAGCAUGGGGAGCAAAAGGG
rnacentral:rRNA from 1 species